rnacentral:lncRNA from 1 species
UGACUAAUUUGUAGUAAAAGCUAUUGGCCCAAGUAACUGAGAAUUACAGCUCACAACUUGAUGAAUAACAAAAGGGAAAAAAAAUUUACAUACAACGCUAGCCUACUGACAGAAUAACGUCACCAACAUUGCACCGGCGUUUUGCCGUGUCUUCAAAAAAAAAAAAUAACGAACCACACAAAUAAUUUGAUUCCUGCCAUGAAUGUAUUCCCUUCUGGCUUCUUAUUCUCUGGGAUUAAACGUACUCGUAAUAAUAUCC